GUGGCUGACUCAAGGGACCACAGAGUUAGAACAGAGCCUGGACUGAGCCCAGGCGCCCUGACAGCCAGGCCAGCAAGAGCCCUGACAUGUUGUCUAACCCCCGCCCCGUGAUGACUUCCUGGCAUCCCUGAACAAGAGCUGAGCUUCUGCUCACACACCUCCCUGGAGAGGAAACCUCUGGGCUGCUGUGCAGCCAUUCUGUGACAAGGAUUCCAACACCUCGCUUGGUGAGCUGAAGUCUGCUCAGGGGCACAUUUGGAUGGAGACCCACAAGAAGAGCUGGGUCCCAGGUUGGCAGGGAGAGAACCGCCAAGCCAGCUCCUGGUAGACAGAGGCUCAACGGAAAGUGAGAUCUUGAUGAAAGAAGAGCCCAUGGACCAAGAAUGCACUUCCUGAAGCUGGAAGAGGAAAGAAACAUAUUCCCUGGGAAAUUGAUGUUGGAUUUCCAGCCUCCAGAACUGUGAGGGAAUAAAUUUCCACCAUUUUAAGCCAUCAAGUUGGUGAGAAUUUGUUGCAGUGGCCAUAGGAAACUAAUACAGCGCCUCAUCUGGAAGUUUGCAUUUGGAAAUCAUGUCCCCUGGGGUAGCUGCCUCAGAAAAAGCCGCCCCCUCUGACAGGAGUAAGUACAGGAAGGCACCCCCUCAAGACUGUCACUCAUGUGGCUACUGGGUAUUAAACUACAUCUUUGUGUGAAGAAAAUGGUGGCCAUUCCUCCAAGGCUAUGCAGCCCCAAGCUGGGGAUCAGCCCUAGAGAGCCAAGUUCAGGCUCGCACCUUUGUGAGAGCACGGCCUGCACAAAGCCAGGCAGCAGCUCCAGAGGUGCAGCCUCACAGAAGCUCAGUGGGCAGGUCCUAGGCCAGUGUCAAGCUGGGAGAACACUCGAUCCCAGGGCUGGACCCCAGGACUGCCCCUGAUCUCCCAUACAGCACCCAAACAGAGAGCAUCCACCCCAGGGAGACAGGGAGAGCGGGACCACAUGGAGACCAGCUCAAUCCUCCCUUCCUCUGCCUGAAGGAGGCUCUGGGGGCCCCUCCUGUGUAACAAUGCCACCCAGGUCAUUGCCUCCUUUGGGUGGAAAAUGGAACCCCCCCCCAGUUCUUCACCAAGAUCCCAAGCUUCCUGUCCUGGAGAAAGAGAUCAAUGAGAGCUCCAUCUUUGAGAUUUUCGUGGGGAAGAGUGCAGACCGCCUUGCAUGGAGGCUGCCAUGGCCUUAAUAACUAGAUGGAAACGACUGAUUUCUCUUUUAUUUAUUGAACAACAAUCACUGGGUACUAGCUGUGGGCAGGCUAGCCUCUGCUUACGUUUCUCCCCCGUUUUCUGCAUCCACCUCUCUCCCACCCCCUACCACCUCCUCACAAACCCUUGCUGUGUUAUCACCCAGCUUUAUGCUUUUCCACACCUCUUCCUGGCUGAGCUCCUCACAUCCAGCCCCAUGGCCCCUAUGGGCUAGAAUUGACUCAUAGACCAUU